rnacentral:rRNA from 1 species
CCGUAGGUGANACCUGCGGAAGGAUCAUUAACACGAAUAUCCAUUCUAACACCAAACCAACCUUUGCGUGAAUUUGGAAACGAAUUCGCCGCCUUGGGCGCGUAUGGCGUGGUCUGUACGUUUGCCUUAAGGUUCUUAACUCACCCGUCUAAAUCCUUUGUGGGUUUGGAUGGGUGUUUUUUUAUUUCAACCAUUAAUUGUUGUAAAGUGAAUUUUCAUUUUAUCACAACUUUUAGCGGUGGAUGCCUCGGCUCGAGUAUCGAUGAAGGACGCAGCAAAAUGCGAUAAGCACUGCGAAUGGCAGAAUUUCGAGAAUCAAUAGAAUGCUGAACGCAUACUGCACUUUUGGUUUAUCCCGAAAGUAUGUUUGGUUCAGGAGGUUUAUACUUUACUGCAAUCAAAUGCGCAGACUUCGGUUUGUCAUCUGAUUUGCGUUCAUGUGUGUCAGCGUAUCGCGUUUAGUCGCCGUUGACACAUUAAAUUUAGUAGUUGGCUUCGACUAAUUAAGCUACCGCUUAGUGUUGCUUCGGCUUUCUAGUGGUGUUUAAUUGAAGCGUUCGUAAGACUACUGUAGCAACUUUUUGCAUCUUCAUGCAAUUCUGUUUACCUAUGAACUCAAACAGGGCUACCCGCUGAAUUUAAGCAUAUCAAUA